rnacentral:lncRNA from 1 species
CUCCCUGGAUCUCAGGAUCCAUCAGGGGAAACAGAGCCCAAGUUAUUUUUCUCUGAGCUUCCUUAAUUUUAUUUUACUGCCUUGGGCAUGAUUAGGACAAUGGUGAGGCUUUGAGGAGGGAAGAUGUUUGGGGGGUGCUUGAAAUAUCUAAUGGGGUCUCCAAAUGUCUAGUCCUUCUGGAGACCAGAAAGACUCCAACCCCUAGGAAAACAGAGGUCUCCUGAGCAGUUUUUGUGCGGAAGGAAUUUCGUGCGCCACACCCCUCUGCAAAACGUUGGGACCCCUUUGGCUCAGGUAACCCCCUUCAUAUUCUAGGCUGCUUUCCAGAGCCACAAUUGCUCCCCUCCUUUUAAGACUGGCUGUUCUGUUCAUCUUGGGUGCCAAGAUUUUUCUUUUACUCGCUAAGCCUUCCCCAUAUAAUCUAAUGCUUCAUUUCUUCCCAGAAAAAAUAAGAUAGUUACUUCAAAUUCAGCAUUUCAAUAAUAGUAGUAAAAAGUCCUUCUUUGUAAAAGGUACAGGGUCAGUUCCUGCCACAGAGCUCAUCUGCAUCAUCUCCGUUUCUCUCUUGUGGAUGAGGAGAAGACCUUUGCAUUUGACCAAAAAGCACUAGUAAAUAAGGAGUUAAAAUGAAGGCAGGCUCACUGGUUUGCUGAGAUCUGUCAGAGUCUGACUGGCUGGCUACAUAUCUGUCUCUGGAACAAUAGGUACCUGUAUUCUGCACGGACUGCUGGGCAGCGCUGACACUCUGGAGAAGGUCUGCCUCUGCACUUUCCUGGUUCUAUGCAGGCAGAUGAGUACCACAGCUGUAACUGAGGCACACGGCAAUAAACACAGUGGAGCCAAUUUCUACGAUGGCGAGAGAGGGGGCAUCAGAGUUGACAACAAUGACAAGGAUCCAAGGACCGUCCUUCUGACAAGUUUCAGGACAAUUUGGAACAUGAAGAUUAGAGACUUAGAGACAGUCUGUCUAACCUAAAACUAUACAUUUGGGCUCACACCACUUGAAGAAAAAUGAAACAAAUGGAAAAAAAACAACACUUGAGAAGGUCAAAGAGUCCUACAUCCGGGAAUAUGGAAAAUGGUUAAAUUUGUGAACCAAAAGAAAUAAAGUGUUUAGGAAAAAAAGAGAUCA